CGAAACGAGCGUAGCUUCCUUGUCGUGUGGCCUCAGUCCUUCGCCGUCCCUCGCCGUCCUUCGCCAUCGCACGCCACCGCACCCCAUCUCUCGAAAUCUGCAGACAUCUUGAUUUUUCCCACGCUGUCUGUCAGGUCUCCGCCGCCACUCGACGCCAGGGCGCCGGGUGAGUCCACAGCAGGGCGCAUGGUCGGCUCCACUCUCACCAUCGGGGGAAACUGAGGCCCCGGGGAAGGCGGCCAGAGAGGUCAGGCCCUGUCCUUGGUGCAGUGUCUCGUCCUCUUUGCCGGAGUGAGCCCCCCAGGAUUCGCGUGUCCUCGGGAAAGACACUGGCAGGCCUUGUGGGCUGUGCUGCACCUCGGACGGCUUCGCACCAGCCAGCGCCCUCUCUCUCCUGCAGCACUCUGAUCUGCACCCCCUGAGGGGCUUCCACUGUCCGCGGGGUGAGAAUGCCCCUGGGAGUGUCACAUGACUGCCGCCCCAUGUGUGUGAGAGGCGUCCUCUGGGAGAGCAUGGAUCCUGAGGUCCCAGGAUUGUCAGCUGACCUCUGUCCUGUGUGCCCAGUGGCCCCAGGUGACGUGUCUUCAAGAAGAGGCUGAGCUGCGGUGCUUGUAAGGGUCUCAUUCUGUCACCCAGGCUGGAGUGCAGUGGUGCAAUGAUGGCUCACUGCAGCCUCGACCUGGGCUCAAGUGAUCCUCCACCUCAGCUUCCUGAGUAGCUGGGACCACAGAGUCAUGUGCUGUUCCUGGGGCUUGGAUGAUGUAGGGGAAGCAAGGUGAAAGUGGUAUCCCGUGGUUCCACGUUCUGUCCUGCUGUGGGGCUGUCCCUCACAUGCUUUCAGUGGCUGUUGCAGAGGAAGAGCCUCCGGAAAUCUGCGUGGGUAAAGUCUCAGCCUUAGAUCCAAGGACAGUCCAAGGAAGUCCUAAGACCAUGGAGUUGGUGAUCUGGGAUCUGGGUUUGCUGAUAUUUCUCACCGUGAAUCUCUUGGUGGUGUUUGUGGGCACGAGAGGGGCAGAGAAUGGAGAGUGAGGCUACCACAUGAAGCGUCACCAGAGCUGCUCCCUGCUGCCUGCUCAGAGCACCCCGGAUCCACUGUUCAAUCUGCACAAGAUUCGGGGUCCAGACAUGGGAGACUUCAGCUGCCUCAGAGGACCGUGGACAGGGAAGGCCAGCCUCGCAUCCCUCUGUCCAUGCCUGGAAUGACUUUAAUAACCAAGAGUUUUAUUUUUGAAUUUGUAGCUGUCGUUCACUUUUUACCCACCCAUUCAAUAAACCUUACAGAAUUGCUCCA
rnacentral:lncRNA from 1 species